CGGGGUCCUGUUCCGCCUGACGGGGCAGCCGGCGUGCCGGGCCUUCCUCCUGACCUCCGUGGUGUUGUUGAUGGUUCUUCUGACGGGCGUCAUCGUCUUCCUCAUCACAUCUUCAGUGCCUCAGAGCUGACGGGAACCGGGGAGAUGUGGACUUUGAUCCGCUCAGGAGAUCCAGAGGAUUCCGAUUCUGUUUCUGAUCUAAAAUUUCAAACCAGAAAAGUUUCAUCUGAGCCGAAUGUGGAUUUAAUCUGGUCCCGAUGUGCAGGAGGCCACAGUCUCCUUGUUCCAGUUAAAGGGUCAGAGUGUGGAGGGACGCCACAGGGCUGAGAACAGAUUAAAGGGUCAGGGGUCAGCUGCAGAUUAAAAGUGAGACUCCUGAUUUGUGGGGCGGGUUUCGUUUGGGUUUGUCUUCGGUUUCCUCCCGUCUCCACCUGAUCCUAAACUCGGGAUGUUUGAUGGCCAGUUUGCAGCUCCUGGUCGGAUUUUUCCUCAUAGCCAGUUGUUGUUUGUAGGAAUCAUGCAAACGAGCCGAGCGUCGGCGGUUCCGCUGCAGCGCUCAGACAAAAGCCUUCAGUCCGACCUGGACGGGUUCGUCCACUCAUUCAAAUUCAGAAGCUCUCCACACCAGCAGCGUUGUUCUGACACCUCGGUUUUCUCCAGAAGAGAAUAAACGGCUGUAGCUCUACGGCAGAGCAGCUUCCUGGUGACGUUCACGCAGGCGGCGGAGUUCUCCGAACCGCCAAAGGUGUUCACCUGCAAGGACACACCUGAGAGGGCGCUGGGGGAGGGGGUGGAGUUCGGAGCAUUCAGCCACUCAGCUGGUCUGCUUGGAUCUGCAGGUCAGACCCCGAUGGACCCCCGCUGAGCUGAACCCCUCUCGGGUGGAACCUCCGUCCAGUUCUAACUGGCUGACGGCUUCGGAUGCAGAUCAGACCCCCUCGUCAUCCUGUUUUGACUUUCAAAUGAAGCUGAAAUCGGAGACUGCUUUCACUGUCGUCCUGAAACCCGACCCAUUAACAGCUGUCUUGUUUUCAGCGUCAGGUGUUUGAAUCUCAGAAGAAACGUUUUAUUUGCUGUUUUUGACCUGAGUUCUGGUUUUACGUUGUCUGUUUGAGGCUCCGCCUUUUUACUGUCAAGUCGUUUUAUGUAUUUAUAACCUUUUAAGCAAAGCUGGCGUCUUCUUUUGUAUAAAAUUUAAAUAAAGUUUAAAUUGAAUCCAUCA